rnacentral:rRNA from 1 species
GACGAACGCUGGCGGCGUGCCUAAUACAUGCAAGUAGAACGCACAGUUUAUACCGUAGCUUGCUACACCAUAAACUGUGAGUUGCGAACGGGUGAGUAACGCGUAGGUAACCUGCCUGGUAGCGGGGGAUAACUAUUGGAAACGAUAGCUAAUACCGCAUAAUAUUAAUUAUUGCAUGAUAAUUGAUUGAAAGAUGCAAUUGCAUCACUACCAGAUGGACCUGCGUUGCAUUAGCUAGUAGGUGAGGUAACGGCUCACCUAGGCGACGAUACAUAGCCGACCUGAGAGGGUGAUCGGCCACACUGGGACUGAGACACGGCCCAGACUCCUACGGGAGGCAGCAGUAGGGAAUCUUCGGCAAUGGACGAAAGUCUGACCGAGCAACGCCGCGUGAGUGAAGAAGGUUUUCGGAUCGUAAAGCUCUGUUGUAAGAGAAGAACGGGUGUGAGAGUGGAAAGUUCACACUGUGACGGUAUCUUACCAGAAAGGGACGGCUAACUACGUG